rnacentral:lncRNA from 10 species
UCACCUGAGUGCAGGUGGGCUGAGUCCGAAAAGAAAGCGAAGGGAGUUAAGGGUGGGGCAGUUUUAUAGGAUUUGGGCAGGUAAAGGAAAAUUACAGUCAAAAGGGGGGUUGUUCUCUGGCUGGCAGGAGUGGGGGUCAUAAGGUGCUCAGUAGGGGAGCUUUUUGAGCCAGGAUGAGCCAGGAAAAGGACUUUUACAAGGUAAUGUCAUCACUUAAGGCAAGGACCGGCCAUUUUCACUUCUUUUGUGAUUCUUCAGUUACUUCAGGCCAUCUGGGCAUAUAUGUGCAAGUCACCGGGGCUGCGAUGGCUUAGCUUGGGCUCAGAGGCCUGACAGGAGAAUCCCUCAAACCCGGGAGGCAGAGGUUGCAGCCAGCCGCGAUUGUGCCAUUGCCCUCCAGCGUGGGCAAUAGAGUAAGAUUCCAUCUCAAGCAAACAACCAAAUAGCAACUUGAACCAAUGUGCCUCUGCACAUUUCACACAUGCUACAAAGGAGGGGUGUGGCAUGGGACAGCAUUGACCAAUCCUCGGUCAGGAAGGGCUUCCAGAGCAAGUGCAGCUCUGAAAGGCAGGUUGAACACCUCUAGCAAGGUCCUGGGAUCCUUUAAGUCCUGAAGGGAGGUCAGUGUAGCUGGGAGAGAGGGUAGGGGUGGCGUGGGGUUGUCAAGGAGGCACAGUUGGCCAAUCUAGCCUGUGCAGACCCUCCACUGCUGAAUGUAUAUAUAAUUUUUAUUUUAAGAGCAAUGGAAAUCCAUUGAACUGUUUUAAGGAGACAGAGGGAGAGAGAAACACACACACACAUGCACACAGAACCUGGCCUCGGUGGGUGUAGGAGGGAGAACUGAAUGAUAGCUUUCAGGUCUCUGAUUCACACAUUUGGAUGCUCAACGAGGGCACCUUCCUUUGGGAGCUUCGGCUGGUGUGGGGAACCAGGCAAGUUGGGAGCCCUGGAGAUGGCGUGCCUAGUGGGGAGACGGGGGCAGGCUGGGCCUGAGAUUGCGGUACGACCUGGGUCCCAGCAGCCCUUUUACUUCCUCUCAGUCUGUUGGAGCCUUGGGGCUGGAAGGGAGGGUCAUUAGAAUGUUCUCUGCAGAAAACUCAAAAAGCCCGCAGGAGAAUGAGAGUCUGUGCUAUUUCGGCAUUCCCUCCCAUUUCACUCACUGCCUCGAGGGAAUGAUAAAUAUGAGAAACCUGCUCAAAAAGCCUGGCUGGACCCAGGGUCUGCUUGAAGGCCUGUGCUCUGGGGCUGGAAAGGGGAGGGGGGAGGGGAGAGGGAGGAAGGAGAGAUGAAGGGGUGGGGGGGAGAAGGGAGACGGAAAGGGGAGGAAAGGGAAGGAAGGGAGAGGGAACUAGGAGAGGAGAGAGGAGGAGGGGGAGGGGGGGAGGAGGGGACAGGGAGAGGUAGGGGAGGGGAAGAGGAGGCCGAGGGGGAGGGCAUAAGGCCUGCCUGCAGCUGUCUGCAGAGCCCCACGCCUGCCACACGAAGUGCAGUUUGGAGAGGAAAGAAGCCGUAUCUCAGUCCUUUCACCAAUAGCUGAUGUAAUCUCAAGAGAGUUGCAUUUCCCACAGUGGAGACUUCACACAUCACAGCUAAAUCCUCCAAGACGACUCGGCUGUGGAAUCCUAAUGAAGAAUGCAAUAGGUUGCUUAUGAGCAGGAGCUCAUGCAAUUCCUCUCCAGAGGUGGAAGGCCGAGAACCCUGCUUGGGCCGUGGUGGGUGGCGUGAGGAGCUCACAGCGGAGCCUUAGGAGGCCAUUCUGUGUGGAUUUGUAUCACCGCCCUUUUCAUCAAUGACUCCAAGAAGGAGCUGCAAGUACCACAGGCUUCCAGAUCUUCAGGUGUGGCCUGGGACAGUGUGCGUGCCUGUAUUCUCAGCUACUCGGGAGGCUGAGGAGGGAGGAUCACUUUGAGGCCAGGAGUUUGAGGCUGCAGUAAGCUAGUGUCACACCACUGCAUUCUAGCCUGGGUGACAGAGACCUCAUCUCUAAAACAAACAAACAAAUAAAACAGCUGUGGAGGACGCACCUGCUGGUAGCUCCCUGUUUACCAUAUUCUGCCCACUGGGGUCUCUUUCAGACCCUCAAGCAAUCUCUUUCCUGCCCUGAGGCCUUUGCACAGCUGCUCCCUCUGCCCGUGAGUCCCAACCUUCCUCCUGUCUGGGCAUUCUUCCCACCCUUCAGAGAUCAGCUGAAGCAUCUCCUGGCAGAGAAGCUGUUUUAAGGGGACCAAGGAUUUGUUUCCUCAGGUCUGGUGAGACUCAUGAGCAUGGGACUGACUGUCAUGAAGGAGGAAGUUUAUAUGCGCAGGUCCCUAGAAACAGGAGGCCCGGCACGCCACUCAGAGCCGCACGGGGAGGCGCCACGUGGGUCAGGAGGCAGAGGGGGAGUGAGGGAGCGGUGGGCAAGAGCCUUUGCUGUGAUUUCCGUGGGAAGGAAGGAGUGGGGCAGGGUAAGUGGGCUGAGGAUGGGCUAGUUUGGAUCAUCUAAAGGCUGUAGGGCACAGGGACUCUCCCUAGUUGUCUGGUACCUGGGGUGAUUAGGGCAGGAGAGAGUGGUCCAGAAUAUGACAGCACCAUACAGGAGGUGGUUGGGGUGUUGGCUCUGGAUGGGUUGGUUUGCAUUUGAAAGGCUUGUUCACUUGCAGGCGAAUUGUUUACUCUCUCUAGGAAUUGACUCACCCUGGGAGGGGUAGUCCCUCCAGGAUCAGCAAGACCCCAGAGCAAAUGCAUCAGAAGUAUCACAAAUAAAGGGCGUGCUUAGUCCAGAGACCUUCCCAUAAGCACUCCAUGUCUCUAUAAUGUUUAUCAUAUUUCCUCUCUCUCCUCUAGUUUUGUCAGUUUCCUACACUAGAACACAAGGUCUGGGGGAAGGGGCCACAUGUGUGUUUACUAAUGCAUUCUGUGUCUAACUGCUGUCUGGAACUUAGUAGAUGCCAUUUUUUCUUUUUUUUCUGUGAGAUGGAGUCUCACUCUGUGGCCCAGGCUGGAGCGCAGUGGCGCGAUCUCAGCUCACUGCAAGCUCCGUCUCCUGGGUUCACGCCAUUCUCCUGCCUCAGCCUCCUGAGUAGCUGGGGCUACAGGUGCCCGCCACCGCACCCGG